UACGUAGGGUCCGAGCGUUGUCCGGAAUUAUUGGGCGUAAAGGGCGCGUAGGCGGUGCGGUAAGUCACCUGUGAAAUCUCCUGGCUCAACUGGGAGCUUGCAGGCGAAACUGCCGUGCUGGAGUGUGGGAGAGGUGCGUGGAAUUCCUGGUGUAGCGGUGAAAUGCGUAGAUAUCAGGAGGAACACCUGUGGCGAAAGCGGCGCACUGGACCACAACUGACGCUGAGGCGCGAAAGCUAGAGGAGCAAACAGG
rnacentral:rRNA from 1 species